AGCAGCUAGUGUGCUGAGUGUCCAUCUUAGCUCUGCAGGCUGUAUGCCGAGCGUGGGCCCCCCAGGUGUGUUUCUGUAGUUUGAUUAACUGUGGGCCAUGUGUGUGGGGUCUCUGCUUGUGUCGGGAUCUAGGCAGGCGGAGUCUCAUGUGUAGUCUACGGUUCAUGAGUCGGGGUAGAGCCCUCGCUUGCUUCUCCCUGGUUAAUGGUUCAGUAGUGCUUUUUGGCGCCGGUCUGCGUGUAGGGGGGAUGUUGGGCUGUCAAGAGGCUGUUUGGGCUGCCUUGGUCUGUGCCAGCGUGGCCCAUAGUUGUGCACAAAAUUGGUCGAAGGCGGCUACUAUACCGUUCUCCC